rnacentral:rRNA from 1 species
UACGUAGGGGCAAGCGUUGUCCGGAAUUAUUGGGCGUAAAGCGCGCGCAGGCGGUCCUUUAAGUCUGAUGUGAAAGCCCACGGCUUAACCGUGGAGGGUCAUUGGAAACUGAGGGACUUGAGUACAGAAGAGGAGAGUGGAAUUCCACGUGUAGCGGUGAAAUGCGUAGAGAUAUGGAGGAACACCAGUGGCGAAGGCGAUUCUCUGGACUGUAACUGACGCUGAGGCUCGAAAGCGUGGGGAGCAAACAGGAUUAGAUACCCCGGUAGU